CUACGGGCGGCUGCAGUGGGGAAUAUUGCACAAUGGAGGAAACUCUGAUGCAGCAACGCCGCGUGGAGGAUGACACUUUUCGGAGCGUAAACUCCUUUUAUAUAGGAAGAAGAUGACGGUACUAUAUGAAUAAGCGCCGGCUAACUCCGUGCCAGCAGCUGCGGUAAUACGGAGGGCGCAAGCGUUACUCGGAAUCACUGGGCGUAAAGAGCGUGUAGGCGGAUUAAAAAGUCAGAAGUGAAAUCCUAUAGCUUAAUUAUAGAACUGCUUCUGAAACUCUUAAUCUAGAAUAUGGGAGAGGUAGAUGGAAUUUCUGGUGUAGGGGUAAAAUCCGUAGAGAUCAGAAGGAAUACCGAUUGCGAAGGCGAUCUACUAGAACAUUAUUGACGCUGAGACGCGAAAGCGUGGGGAGCAAACAGGAUUAGAUACCCUUGUAGUC
rnacentral:rRNA from 1 species